rnacentral:rRNA from 1 species
GUCGAGCGGAACGAUCCUAGCUUGCUAGGAGGCGUCGAGCGGCGGACGGGUGAGUAAUGCAUAGGAAUCUGCCCGGUAGUGGGGGAUAACCUGGGGAAACCCAGGCUAAUACCGCAUACGCCCUACGGGGGAAAGCAGGGGAUCUUCGGACCUUGCGCUAUCGGAUGAGCCUAUGUCGGAUUAGCUAGUUGGUGAGGUAACGGCUCACCAAGGCUGCGAUCCGUAGCUGGUCUGAGAGGAUGAUCAGCCACAUCGGGACUGAGACACGGCCCGAACUCCUACGGGAGGCAGCAGUGGGGAAUAUUGGACAAUGGGCGAAAGCCUGAUCCAGCCAUGCCGCGUGUGUGAAGAAGGCCUUCGGGUUGUAAAGCACUUUCAGUGAGGAAGAAAGCCUUGAGGUUAAUACCCUCGAGGGAGGACAUCACUCACAGAAGAAGCACCGGCUAACUCCGUGCCAGCAGCCGCGGUAAUACGGAGGGUGCGAGCGUUAAUCGGAAUUACUGGGCGUAAAGCGCGCGUAGGCGGCUUGAUAAGCCGGUUGUGAAAGCCCCGGGCUCAACCUGGGAACGGCAUCCGGAACUGUCAGGCUAGAGUGCAGGAGAGGAAGGUAGAAUUCCCGGUGUAGCGGUGAAAUGCGUACAGAUCGGGAGGAAUACCAGUGGCGAAGGCGGCCUUCUGGACUGACACUGACGCUCAGGUGCGAAAGCGUGGGUAGCAAACAGGAUUAGAUACCCUGGUAGUCCACGCCGUAAACGAUGUCGACUAGCCGUUGGGCUCCUUGAGAGCUUUGUGGCGCAGUAACGCGAUAAGUCGACCGCCUGGGGGAGUACGGCCGCAAGGUUAAAACUCAUAUGAAUUGACGGGGGCCCGCACAA